GGAAACGGGGUCUAAUACUGGAUAUUGACUUUAUCUCGCAUGGGGUUUUGUUGAAAGAUUUAUUGGUUUUGGAUGGACUCGCGGCCUAUCAGCUUGUUGGUGAGGUAAUGGCUCACCAAGGCGACGACGGGUAGCCGGCCUGAGAGGGUGACCGGCCACACUGGGACUGAGACACGGCCCAGACUCCUACGGGAGGCAGCAGUGGGGAAUAUUGCACAAUGGGCGAAAGCCUGAUGCAGCGACGCCGCGUGAGGGAUGACGGCCUUCGGGUUGUAAACCUCUUUCAGUAGGGAACAAGGCCAGUGAUUGUUUGGUUGAGGGUACUUGCAGAAGAAGCGCCGGCUAACUACGUGCCAGCAGCCGCGGUAAUACGUAGGGCGCAAGCGUUAUCCGGAAUUAUUGGGCGUAAAGAGCUCGUAGGCGGUUUGUCGCGUCUGCCGUGAAAGUCCGGGGCUCAACCCCGGAUCUGCGGUGGGUACGGGCAGACUAGAGUGAUGUAGGGGAGACUGGAAUUCCUGGUGUAGCGGUGAAAUGCGCAGAUAUCAGGAGGAACACCGAUGGCGAAGGCAGGUCUCUGGGCAUUAACUGACGCUGAGGAGCGAAAGCAUGGGGAGCGAACAGGAUUAGAUACCCUGGUAGUCCAUGCCGUAAACGUUGGGCACUAGGUGUGGGGGACAUUCCACGUUUUCCGCGCCGUAGCUAACGCAUUAAGUGCCCCGCCUGGGGAGUACGGCCGCAAGGCUAAAACUCAAAGGAAUUGACGGGGGCCCGCACAAGCGGCGGAGCAUGCGGAUUAAUUCGAUGCAACGCGAAGAACCUUACCAAGGCUUGACAUGAACUGGAAAUACCUGGAAACAGGUGCCCCGCUUGCGGUCGGUUUACAGGUGGUGCAUGGUUGUCGUCAGCUCGUGUCGUGAGAUGUUGGGUUAAGUCCCGCAACGAGCGCAACCCUCGUUCUAUGUUGCCAGCACGUAAUGGUGGGGACUCAUAGGAGACUGCCGGGGUCAACUCGGAGGAAGGUGAGGACGACGUCAAAUCAUCAUGCCCCUUAUGUCUUGGGCUUCACGCAUGCUACAAUGGCCGGGACAAU
rnacentral:rRNA from 1 species